rnacentral:lncRNA from 1 species
GAAGUGCUCUUCAACUGCCUCCGCCAUAUUGUCAUUGAUUAGCUCUGUCAUAUUGAAUAUAUUUUUGCAGGUGUGACUUGCAUGGGAAAUCCUGUUUCACCCCGGGGAUGCGGGCAGACAGAGUUUGUCAUUGCCAGGGAGAAAACGUGGCUGCAUCUGAACCACCAGGAGGACAGACGGACACGUGUAUGCCAGAUCAGUGGAUCUUCUCCACCAGAAGCUACAAUGUGUAAGUGACACACUUGCACUGCAGGAAUGCUGGUUCUGACCCCAAGUCUCCAGUGGAUUAGUUGCUUUGCUGCAAUACCUUUGGGCAAAGCCGUUCAACCAUAUCACAAACAACUUGCUUUAAGACUGGAGCACAUACUGUUUACUGUAUAAUCCUCUCUAAUGCUUUUUUUUUUUUUUUUUUUCUUGAGAAAAGAUUAAAGAACAGAAUUACAUUGGAACUGGUGGAAGCAUGAUCCAUGCCCCCUUGAUUAUAUGGAAACAUUAAAAUAUCAUCAGCAUGUUAAUUUUAUCAUCUGAACUGUAUGAGAUUUAUUCAUAUCUCUUAUCUAUUACAUUAGUCUGGAAAUACAAUUUAUUCUGAUGGUGGGAAUGUCAGACAGAGAGACCAAAAACAUCUGGACUUCUUAAUAUGAAGCAGAUUUUCUAGGAUGUGUAUUGCCACUUUAAAAUUAAUUCUGCUAAUAAGGAGGCAGAGAUUUCAUAGCCUAUUGAUCUCACAGAAUAAGACCCCAGCCCUUUAUUGGGGCAGAACAGGUAGAUCCUAGAAAUGUCCCUCCAAGGUUUUGUAGUUCACAUUUCUUCUGUUAUGUAUUUGAAUAUCAAAUACAAUAGAUUAUUUUAGCAUCCUAAUAUAAAAUACACAAGAGCAGAUAAAACCCAGUCAUUGCAAACUGCAGGAUUAAUAAAAAUCAAUGAAAAUUCUCCUAGAAAAACA